rnacentral:rRNA from 1 species
UACGUAGGGUGCAAGCGUUGUCCGGAAUUAUUGGGCGUAAAGAGCUCGUAGGCGGUUUGUUGCGUCGGCUGUGAAAUCCCGAGGCUCAACCUCGGGUCUGCAGUCGAUACGAGCAAACUAGAGUGUUGCAGGGGAGACUGGAAUUCCUGGUGUAGCGGUGGAAAUGCGCAGAUAUCAGGAGGAACACCGGUGGCGAAGGCGGGUCUCUGGGCAACAACGUGACGCUGGAGGAGCGAAAAGCCGUUGGGGG